ensembl:lncRNA
UACAAAAUACAUAAACUUAAGAUUUCAAGUGUUAUGAACUCAAAAUCAUGAUUCAUACCUCACGCUGGUCUUCCUUCGAUGUGAUUGGCCAUGCAAGGAGUUCUGCCUGGCAACAAGAGAACUAACGCACUGAUUGGUAGAUAAUUACAAAAGGCGGUCCUCUUCGUCUGGUCUGUUGUUUGCUGCUGAGACCGGUUUCAGUGUAAAGUUAAUUAACGGGGUUUUUCACCGUGUGCCAUUUUAAGUGAUAUAAGACAAGAACAUGUGGAAAUGUAAGCAUUGCAUUUUCAACUCUGAGGAAAGAGGGGAAUUUCUCAAACAUGAUCGUUUAAAACAUGGUGCCCGUACAAAACCUGUACUUUUUCCAUGCCUACACCUUGACUGUCUUUGUACGUUCAACUCCAUCAGUUAUUUGAAAGUUCAUCCAAGUUUUCAAAUUAAUAAACUUUAUUUAUACUGCAUCCUUUUAAGAGUGUAUAGCAAGUGCUUUGCAAGGAGCAUGUAUAUUUGCAUAAAUUCGCAUGUAUACUUGUCAAUAUAAUUUUGCUUUGUACUAAAUUUGGUAGUAUGUAUCUCAUAGUUUUUGUCAAUACAAUUGAUUUGUGUGUUUGAUAGAUUUAGUGAGCAUUCUGAUAAACAUGCAUUGAUGGUCAAUCUUUGAUGCAUGAUCACAAUACUCUAUUUAUACCCGUUCCUUCACUAGGUGUCUGAUCAUCGCAACUCUAUCCUUGAUGUGCCAGUGGGGAGCUUACUCGAAGACACCAAUCUUCAGCCCCCCAACUCCUUGCAUUUGACUUCCUCUAUAGGGAUAAUACUUGGAGGCCAAGUGGUGAUGGACAAAAUGCAGGAUGUCUCAUAAGCAAUGUGUCUUCUCUUUGGUCUUAUUUAUGCGUUAGACCCAAAUUCCCUCGCAAACACGUUUGAUGUCAAUGGGGCAGAACACCCUCAAUCCUAAAGUACAGUCUUUGGCAAACCAACUUUUUGGUGAAGAAAAAUGUUUAGGUCUCCUUGUUGCAGAUUUUGAGUCAGCAUUGUUAGAUUUACAUACUCAGAGCAAUUUUUUUUAAUUGAUUAACUGGAUUAUCCAUAAAUGAAGGAGAAAAAGUAUAAUAGUAUUUUAAAUUGUUUAAGUGCACAGAGUUCUUCCACUGAUGGAGUGCAGUAGUUAAUGUGGGACAUUGUUACCAAGUCUUCAGUGCUGUACAGUGUGGUCGUGACACAUUUCCAUUAUAGUAUAGUGUGUACUGUAAUUUCAUUAAUUUUGUGAACAUUGGUCAAUAAAGACAUUCAAUAUGCU